GCAAAUUAUAACGAAGAUGCACCAAGAACCGUUCACCUGGAAAUGCUAACCUUCACCUUAAUACCUGGAAAAACAUCAAAUUUAUAUCUUUACAUCGACUUAUCAUUGAUAUAUAGAAGGUUUUAUAAUGUGCUUUUGAAGGUAACUGCAAUUAUAUUCAUAAAUCAAUAAUCUGUUACAAUAUCU